rnacentral:rRNA from 1 species
GACGAACGCUGGCGGCGUGGAUUAGGCAUGCAAGUCGAACGGUAUCAUCCUUUCGGGGGUGAGAGAGUGGCGAACUGGUGAGUAACACGUAGGUUAUCUACCCUCAAGACGGGGACAACCCAGGGAAACUUGGGCUAAUACCGGAUGUGAGCAACUUUUAGUUGUUUGAAAGGUGGCGUAAGCUGUCGCUUGGGGAUGAGCCUGCGUCCUAUUAGUUAGUUGGUGAGGUAACGGCUCACCUAGGCAAUGAUAGGUAGGCGGCCUUAACGGGUGGUCGCCCACACUGGGAUCGAGAUACGGCCCAGACUCCUACGGGAGGCAGCAGUCGAGAAUAGUCUACAAUGGUCGGAAGACUGAUAGUGCGACGCCGCGUGAACGAUGAAUCCCUUCGGGGUGUAAAGUUCUUUUAUAUGUGAGCAGUGCUUCUUAUAUUAACAGUAUGGGGAGAGAGAUAUUAGCAUAUGAAUAAGCAACGGCUAACUCCGUGCCAGCAGCCGCGGU